rnacentral:rRNA from 1 species
GACGAACGCUGGCGGCGCGCCUAACACAUGCAAGUCGAACGAGCGAGCGAGAGCUUGCUUUCUCAAGCGAGUGGCGAACGGGUGAGUAACGCGUGAGGAACCUGCCUCAAAGAGGGGGACAACAGUUGGAAACGACUGCUAAUACCGCAUAAGCCCACAGGUCGGCAUCGACCAGAGGGAGAAGGAGCAAUCCGCUUUGAGAUGGCCUCGCGUCCGAUUAGCUAGUUGGUGAGGUAACGGCCCACCAAGGCAACGAUCGGUAGCCGGACUGAGAGGUUGAACGGCCACAUUGGGACUGAGACACGGCCCAGACUCCUACGGGAGGCAGCAGUGGGGAAUAUUGCACAAUGGGGGAAACCCUGAUGCAGCGACGCCGCGUGGAGGAAGAAGGUCUUCGGAUUGUAAACUCCUGUUGUUGAGGAAGAUAAUGACGGUACUCAACAAGGAAGUGACGGCUAACUACGUG